UCGGCAAAUCAGUCUAUCGCUCUCUCGUUUUUACGGGAGGGAGGAAAGUCCGGGCAGCGCAGAGCAUCGUACUUCCUAACGGGAAGGGUUCCUUUUAGGGAUACAGAAAGUGCCGCAGAAAAUAAACUACCUCAGCAAGCUUGCUUCGUUGGGGAAAAGGUGAAAAGGGGAGGUAAGAGCUCACCGCUCCUGCAGUGAUGGAGGAGGCAGGGUAAACCUUACGAGCUGAAAGACCAUGUAUACCAAGUAUGUCAUUGACAUUAAGGGCUGCUCGCCCGAUCUUGGAGGGUAGGUCGAUUGACGCUGAUGGUGACGUCAGUGCUAGAUAAAUGAUAGACAGCGAGAUCACGUGUGAUUGAGUGUACAGAACCCGGCUUAUGAUUUGCCUUUUUU
rnacentral:RNase_P_RNA from 1 species